rnacentral:rRNA from 1 species
UACGUAGGGUGCGAGCGUUAAUCGGAAUUACUGGGCGUAAAGUGUGCGCAGGCGGCCGAGCAAGUCGAGUGUGAAAGCCCCGAGCUUAACUUGGGAACUGCGCUCGAAACUACUUGGCUAGAGUGUGGAAGAGGGAAGUGGAAUUCCAUGUGUAGCGGUGAAAUGCGUAGAGAUAUGGAGGAACACCAGUGGCGAAGGCGGCUUCCUGGUCUGUAACUGACACUGAGGCGCGAAAGCGUGGGGAGCAAACAGG